CCCGCCGCCCCCGCCCGCCUACGGGAGGCAGCAGUGGGGAAUAUUGCACAAUGGGGGAAACCCUGAUGCAGCCAUGCCGCGUGUGUGAAGAAGGCCUUCGGGUUGUAAAGCACUUUCAGUUGUGAGGAAAGUUUAGUAGUUAAUACCUGCUAGAUGUGACGUUAGCAACAGAAGAAGCACCGGCUAACUCCGUGCCAGCAGCCGCGGUAAUACGGAGGGUGCGAGCGUUAAUCGGAAUUACUGGGCGUAAAGCGCACGCAGGCGGUCUGUUAAGCUAGAUGUGAAAGCCCCGCGCUCAACGUGGGAGGGUCAUUUAGAACUGGCAGACUAGAGUCUUGGAGAGGGGAGUGGAAUUCCAGGUGUAGCGGUGAAAUGCGUAGAGAUCUGGAGGAACAUCAAUGGCGAAGGCAACUCCCUGGCCAAAGACUGACGCUCAUGUGCGAAAGUGUGGGUAGCGAACAGGAUUAGAUACCCUGGUAGUCCACACCGUAAACGCUGUCUACUAGCUGUUUGUGGAUUUAAUCG
rnacentral:rRNA from 1 species